AUGUUGGCCGGGCGACGGUUGUCCCGGUUUAAGCGUGUAGGCUGGUUUUCCAGGCAAAUCCGGAAAACUAAGGCUGAGGCGUGAUGACGAGGCACUACGGUGCUGAAGCAACAAAUGCCCUGCUUCCAGGAAAAGCCUCUAAGCAUCAGGUAACAUCAAAUCGUACCCCAAACCGACACAGGUGGUCAGGUAGAGAAUACCAAGGCGCUUGAGAGAACUCGGGUGAAGGAACUAGGCAAAAUGGUGCCGUAACUUCGGGAGAAGGCACGCUGAUAUGUAGGUGAAGUCCCUCGCGGAUGGAGCUGAAAUCAGUCGAAGAUACCAGCUGGCUGCAACUGUUUAUUAAAAACACAGCACUGUGCAAACACGAAAGUGGACGUAUACGGUGUGACGCCUGCCCGGUGCCGGAAGGUUAAUUGAUGGGGUCAGCGCAAGCGAAGCUCUUGAUCGAAGCCCCGGUAAACGGCGGCCGUAACUAUAACGGUCCUAAGGUAGCGAAAUUCCUUGUCGGGUAAGUUCCGACCUGCACGAAUGGCGUAAUGAUGGCCAGGCUGUCUCCACCCGAGACUCAGUGAAAUUGAACUCGCUGUGAAGAUGCAGUGUACCCGCGGCAAGACGGAAAGACCCCGUGAACCUUUACUAUAGCUUGACACUGAACAUUGAGCCUUGAUGUGUAGGAUAGGUGGGAGGCUUUGAAGUGUGGACGCCAGUCUGCAUGGAGCCGACCUUGAAAUACCACCCUUUAAUGUUUGAUGUUCUAACGUUGACCCGUAAUCCGGGUUGCGGACAGUGUCUGGUGGGUAGUUUGACUGGGGCGGUCUCCUCCUAAAGAGUAACGGAGGAGCACGAAGGUUGGCUAAUCCUGGUCGGACAUCAGGAGGUUAGUGCAAUGGCAUAAGCCAGCUUGACUGCGAGCGUGACGGCGCGAGCAGGUGCGAAAGCAGGUCAUAGUGAUCCGGUGGUUCUGAAUGGAAGGGCCAUCGCUCAACGGAUAAAAGGUACUCCGGGGAUAACAGGCUGAUACCGCCCAAGAGUUCAUAUCGACGGCGGUGUUUGGCACCUCGAUGUCGGCUCAUCACAUCCUGGGGCUGAAGUAGGUCCCAAGGGUAUGGCUGUUCGCCAUUUAAAGUGGUACGCGAGCUGGGUUUAGAACGUCGUGAGACAGUUCGGUCCCUAUCUGCCGUGGGCGCUGGAGAACUGAGGGGGGCUGCUCCUAGUACGAGAGGACCGGAGUGGACGCAUCACUGGUGUUCGGGUUGUCAUGCCAAUGGCACUGCCCGGUAGCUAAAUGCGGAAGAGAUAAGUGCUGAAAGCAUCUAAGCACGAAACUUGCCCCGAGAUGAGUUCUCCCUGACUCCUUGAGAGUCCUGAAGGAACGUUGAAGACGACGACGUUGAUAGGCCGGGUGUGUAAGCGCAGCGAUGCGUUGAG
rnacentral:rRNA from 1 species